UACGUAGGGCGCAAGCGUUGUCCGGAAUUAUUGGGCGUAAAGAGCUCGUAGGCGGUCUGUCGCGUCUGCCGUGAAAACCCGAGGCUUAACCUCGUGGCUUGCGGUGGAUACGGGCAGACUAGAGUGUGGUAGGGGAGAUCGGAAUUCCUGGUGUAGCGGUGGAAUGCGCAGAUAUCAGGAGGAACACCGGUGGCGAAGGCGGAUCUCUGGGCCAUAACUGACGCUGAGGAGCGAAAGCAUGGGGAGCGAACAGG
rnacentral:rRNA from 1 species